GUCACUCUAUAUGUUUCCAUCAAGAAAAGAAAGACAGAAACAUGUUUUUUUUUGUUGUUGUUGUUUUCUUAAAGUCCCUUUUGCAAGCAGAAAAGACAGUUUAUUGGUGGAGGCGUGGCAUGCAUGCCUGUGAAGUUUGCAAUAUGGAGAUGCCGGCAGGUAGUCGUGUAUGAGCCACCUCUCAAACAGGCUGUGAGUGAUCCAGGUGCAGGGGACCUGCUGGAGUGAAGCUUUUGGCAUGAUAAUUCAAUCCACGUUACUCCAUUGCCAUUUGUUACCACGUCCUUCAGUCUCCUCAAUCUCUCAGUCCCCUUAUUUUUCGUGACCUUGACAACUUUGAGGAGGACUCAUCAGUGGUGAAAAUAAUUCCAAACAAAAAUGAUAAAUACCAGACUCAAAUUGGAAGUGAAAGGAUCCAGAAGAUGGUACUUGCUGAGAGUAAUGGAACAGGGAUGGUGCCACAAGAGUUCUUGGGGAAGUUUUGAAGAAAGCAAAGAUGUUUUGGGGACAUAUGCAGUCUGCAGUCCUCCACAGAGACUGGAGCCCAGCAUUUUGAAAAGAAUGCCAAUUGGAAGAAUUUGGAAUAAAGAAUUACUCAGAAAUAGAAACUGUUUUGGCAGGGUUGAAAUGUUAUAUCAGUACAGAAUGAUUUCAAAUUAAUGGGCAGAAUUCAAUUUUGUUCAUAUGCAUGCUCCAGUUUGGGAAGGGAAUCAAGUGGAAGGGAUAUAUGGGGGCUUUGAGAGACAUUGAGUUCUUAGACAGUUCUUCCUUCCCACAAGUUAGAAUUUAGAGACGAGUGUGGCCAAACACUGUGGGUGUGGUAAAAGUAUGUGUGAGUUCAGACAAUGGCAGUGACUGGCAGGGAUGCUCUUGACCAGGACUAGGUCUAUUACUUGAGAUAAUAUAAAGUCUGAAUUAUUUCCCAGCCCAUGUCAUAAUAUCGUGGGGCUUAGACCCUUCUAAGGCUGCUUACCUUGCCAGGGAAGUGCACUUCCCCCUUGUAAGUAUGAGAUGGCAAUGAGAAUCCUGUGUGUGUCUGUAUUUAUCUGUAUCUAUAUCCAGGUCUAUAUUAUCGGAUAAUAUGCCUACACAUUCAGACACACAUAGAGCCCCCAGUUCUGUUCCCCAAGCACUUACUAAGGACCCACUCUGUGCUGGAGUCUCUGCUAUGUUUUGGGGAUAUAGUGAGGGAAAUGUCUUACAGUCUCCUUCAUGUGUUUACUAUUUAUUAAUGCCAAAUAGAGAAAUAAAA
rnacentral:lncRNA from 10 species